rnacentral:lncRNA from 1 species
UUUUAAAUUUUUUUCAAAUUAUACUAUUUCGAAAUUCAAACCCUAAACCCCAAAACUCAACUCUAAACCCUAAACCAUCGAUCCUAAACUUUUUUUUUUUAAAUACGAACCCUAAACCCUAAAUCAUCAAUCUUUAACCCUAUAUACUAUUUUGAAAUACGAACCCUAAACCCUGAAACAUCAACUCUAAACCCUAAAGCCCGAAACAACAACCCUAAACCCUAAACCUUCAACUCUAAACCCUAAAGCAUCAACUCUAAACCCUAAACUUCAACUCUAAACCCUAAACCAUCAACACUAAACACUAAAC